UACGAAGGGCGCAAGCGUUACUCGGAAUUACUGGGCGUAAAGCGUGCGUAGGUGGCUGUUUAAGUCUGUUGUGAAAGCCCUGGGCUCAACCUGGGAAUUGCAGUGGAUACUGGGCGACUAGAGUGUGGUAGAGGGUAGUGGAAUUCCCGGUGUAGCAGUGAAAUGCGUAGAGAUCGGGAGGAACAUCCAUGGCGAAGGCAGCUACCUGGACCAACACUGACACUGAGGCACGAAAGCGUGGGGAGCAAACAGG
rnacentral:rRNA from 1 species